AACAAAUUCUUAGAAGAGAAUAUUAACAUAUAGCAAAAACCCACAUUUAUACAGGAGAAGUUAUACAGCUAAGUUCACUACAGUUAUGAUUUUAAGAACUGCUAAUCACCAGUGAAGAAACAGAUUGCUGCUUUUUAAGAACUGAUGUAUUCACAAUAUAUUCCCUUUCCUGCCACUCCCCAGCACAACUCUGCAAUAACCUUCUACAAUCUGGCAUUUCCCACAGAUGUUGGACUAUAGUGCCUAUCAUCUUCCGUGUUGCUGGAGUUGUAAUUCACCACUUCAGGAAGGCAUGGGGGGGGUACUUUUGGGGAAGCAAGGGUGGACUGAAGACAGCUCCGCCUUCAACGACCAGAGUGGAAAGAGGAGCUGGUAAAUGGAUGGCUCCCCGGAAUUCCUCACCAGAGCAAGGAGGGGCCAGGAUCGCCCGCAAGUGCUCCAUAUAGAGGCUCCCCACAAGGAGACCAUAAGACAGCAGUCUCCGGCGGGUUUUAGAGCUCUGAGAGCCAGGGGAAAGUCAUCUUGCCUAAGCUGAGGAUGAUAGAGGAAGCCUAACCCUUUCCACCUCCAUUUUUUUCCCCUGGAUUUAAAGUGUACCUCACAAAAGGCAGCGAACCCGCAGCGCCGAGAUGCCAGGCGUGGCGAUCGAAAGACUCACCCAGCUGCUGCCUCGUAGCCAUGUCUGCAGACCCUCCGCCCGGAGGAGAAAAGGCAGCGAGAUGGAAACUCUGCCGCUCGCGGGUGGAAAUAAAUGAGGAGGUGGUAGUUGGAGUAAGGAGGUGGGGUUACGAUUGCAUGCUGGGAACCGGGGAGGGGGCACCUGAAUCGCUGCCGAGGCUUCGGGGCAGAAGAGGGAGGAGGUGCCGAAAACAGGGCGCAGAGAUCUCGCUCGUCCCGAACGAAAAGGAGAGCUCGGUCGCAGAUGCUUUCCGUUCUGAAUUGUCACCUCGGACUGGGUGGCUUUGAUGCAGUAACAAUAUCUUCCCGCUCAUUUGCACCAUGCAAAACUCCCUAGUUCCACCAUUGGGUGCAGUUUCGGUAUACGAUUGUUCUCAGCCUGCAAGCUUUUCUUUAGACAAUACCUGUGUUGACAGCUGAUGCACCAUUUAAAC